GGAGGGGUGGCUGAGUGGUUGAAAGCGCCGGUCUUGAAAACCGGAGUGGGCUUUCCGCCCACCGUGGGUUCGAAUCCCACCCCCUCCG
rnacentral:tRNA from 1 species